UUCCCAACUACCCCCACCUAACCCCUUCUUCUUUUUUCUGAUUCAUAAUAACCUUCAGUCAGUAUCUCCAUCUUAUCUCUAUCUCAGUAUCUCCGCCUCUCUUUCUUCUCCUUCUUUCUUUUUUUUUUUUUUUUUUUUGAGAAUCUUUUUCUUGCCUCUGCUUCUUUUACAAUUUGAGUUUUAUGCUUUUAUUAUUGAUGAUGAUUUUGGGUUGGGUUUGAUUAAGGGCAGUGAUUUUGGGCGGAGAAAGUAAAAUUCCGGUUUGGGUUUUUCUUCCUCUUCUUCAGCAUCUUCUUCUUUCUUUCUUCUUCUUCUCCUUCUUCUUUUUUCAAUUUCGGUUUGAUUAUUUAUAUGAAUUUGUAUAUGGGUUUGAUGAAUUUGGAUCUAGAUUUAGAACGAUUUUGAUGAUUUUGUGGUGUGUCCGUGAUGAUUUUGGGUUGGGUUUCCCGGUGAGCUGAAAAAAAAAUUUUGAGUUGGGUUUUCCAGUGGGUUUGUCUUGAUUUUGAGUUGGGUUUUCUAAUUGCUUUUCCGUUGAUUUUGGGUUAAUUUUCUGUUGAUUUUGGGUUAAUUUUCUGUGCUAGGUUGCUGUGUUUGGUGGUGGUGAUGGUGGGUUUGGUGGUUGGGUGGUUAUUUUCUGCUUCCUUCUUCUUAUUCUGUCGCGUUGGGUUGUUAUAGACGUUGGGAGUGGGAAUUUUUGUAAAAGUGCUGUGAGAGCACUUUCUCUCCAGCAUUUUCCUCUCGAUUUGGGAGGAUGAAUUUUGUGGGCCCGGGAGAGAAAAUUUUCUCCCGGGUUUUCCUUCCUCCUCAUUUUCCUUCUUUUGCCAAACAGUGGAAAGCAUUGUUUUCCACCCAAUUUUCCUCCUAAUGUUUUCCAUCCCCCUAAAUUCACCCCCAACCACAGUGUAAAGUCCGAGAUCGAUCCUCCCUUUCCUAAUGAGUUUCCUUUACAAGAUUUCCAACUUAUCGAAAGCAGAGUUGUUAAGGAUUGUCUCUAGGAAUCGAGAUCAAAGAAUGAGCCACGUCCUCCUUCUUCCACUAGAAAAUGAAUGGAUAAAGAAACCAAACUGCAGUCCGUCAAAGCAAAUAACUAUGAGUUUAAAAAUUUUGCAGCGGUUUUGGCACAACAUUUGCAUAUAUUGCAGUAGAAGCAUUGGCUGAUGGUGGGGUAGCUGCAGCCUUACCACAAGAAAUUACAUUGAAACUAUUAUUAUUAGGUGAGCAAUGGGUUCUGUUUCUUUAUUAAACUACAUCAUACCAUAUCAUCUUUGUGCUUUCCAAUUUGGGAUAAGAUCUUCUCCCAUUUAAAUCUUCCAAUCUCCAAUUUUUAACCAAAUGUGAGACUUUUGUCAUUUAUUUGAUUGUGUGGUUUACAUAGGCCUUCUUAAGAUCAUUGGCUUUUUAAAAUGCCUUGUGUCAUAUAUCUAGAUCAAAAUUGGGGAAACGAGUUUCAUUCUACCAUAGCAACGAUAAGAAAACAAAACUCAAAAAAUAGAAAAUUUGGAAACAAUAGAUCACAUCUAAAGUGAUAACCCUCUCCAGCUUGUGUUAUUUAAAGCAAUCAUCAACACAUGAAUUUGAUAAAUCUCAUUAUUUUUCUUGUAAUCCUAGUACACAUGAGCCACUUCCUUAUUUCUCUCAUCAGCAAUUAGCUUUACUAAGGAAACAUAGCUAAUAUUCUUGGCGAUAGUCAUGGCACUUUCUACUAUCCUCGCAGUGUGUUCACAUCUGUGACAUUCAAAAUAUACAUAAACAACUAUCUGUUGCAGAAGCUUAAAUUGAUAUGAGCAUAUUAAUGUGGAUUUUUUAACAUAAGAUAAGGGCAUAAAUUGAUUGAAAUAUAUGGUUAUUUACCUGAUAUCAUGAAGAACUGUUGAAUGCUUUGGAAGCUGCUUGCUUUAGUGAUUGGAAACCAUUUUGGACCCAGCCACACAAUGUUUUGAAUGCCUCUGAGGUAUAUUGAUUGAUUGAUUGGAAAAUUUCUUGAAAGCAUUGGAGAAUCUCUUGGUGUGAGACACAAAGUAAUUGUGCGAACAUUAAUGCACAAAUGGCAAGGAUGAAGAAUCCCAAGGGAGGUAGAAGGAUCUCUACCAGCAAGCCAGAGGCAGAAGUGCCAAAAAUGACGCACACACUCCUGCCUAUAUGGAGGCAACUUGUGUUGAGAGCUGGUUGGCUUAUCCAUGCCAAUGUUAUAGAGUAACCAAUCACAAGUACGAUAAAAGAUGACAUAAUUGCACCGUGCGUUUGAAAUGGGUUGCCAGAGUUUUGAUACUUGACUUGUAGAAGGGCAAGCAGCGCUAAAAUGAGAAAACCCAAAGCAGUAUGGACUUUGGUGGAGGAACCAAGUUGUUGCUGACUGAAAAACAGAGAGGAAAAAAAAAAAAAACAUAGAAUUGCCUCAGAUUACAUGCAAUAUUGAAUCCUGUGUUCACCGAUAAUGAUGGAAUAAUAUUAUUUUUAUUGUGUUCUUGCUUACAUUUAAAUCCCAGAUUUGAUUUUGCUGGCUCCUAUUGAAUUGUUGUUUU